GUGAAUCAUCAAAUCUUUGAACGCAUAUUGCACUAUCUUGGAUUCCGGUGAGUAUUCCUAUUUGAGGGUCAUUUGAAAUAAUAUAAAUUUCGGGAUUUUCUUGAAAUCAAAAAUGGGUCGGUCCAUCUUUCGUGUGUUGGUCGCUUAAAAUGCAAGACAAGCUCAUUGCUUGGGUGACGUGAUACUUUCAUUUUCUUUUUGCC
rnacentral:misc_RNA from 1 species